rnacentral:tRNA from 1 species
GGUUCCGUAGCUCAGCUUGGUAGAGCACUGGACUCUUAAUCCAGGUGUCGGGGGUUCAAAUCCCCUCGGGACCA